rnacentral:lncRNA from 1 species
UAUAUAUAUAGGCUCAUGAUCAAAUACAAACCACUCUUAAAAUAAAAACUAAAAACCACUAUUUGAACUCCUAUAAUUACUAAAUGCACUCAACUAAAAUAAAACAGCAAUUAAUAAAACCCACCCACCCAGAUGUGCCCCGAUCAAAUUUCACCCACGCCAUCAUCUCUUUAGCACAAACUUUAUCCCUCCCUCUCCUCAUCCUCAUUAUCUUCUUUCUCUCUGCCAUCAGACCCAUCACCAACUGAGUUUCUCUUCGUCAUCACCACCUCCGUCCUUUCCCUCCAUUGAUCUGUUUUCAACGAUCUCUCUCUCAAUCUCGUGAACGAUUAGACUCUAUCAUGGAUUAUAAUGUUGUUAAAGUUUCGAUAAACCCGUUGAUCUAUUUACAAAAAAUGAUGAUUUCUGCUGUACAAAUUAGUGAUAUGCGCUUCAGAAAUUAGUGAUAUUCUCUUUAGAAUUUAGUGAUUUGUGUUGCAAAACUUGGUGAAAACUUCCAGAAAUUGGGGAAAAUCUCCAGAUCUGUUCUUGUACUUGAUUCUGGUGGUGGUGGCGGUGGUGGAGAUGGUGGAGGUGGCUGCGGAGAUGAAGGUGGUGGACAUGGCAGGAGUUAAUGGAGGUGCCGUAGGUGGAGGUGGUGGAGGAGGAGAUGAAGAAAGAGAAUGUGGAGGUGGGUUGGAUUCGUUGGGUGUAGAUACGGUGAAGGCGAACAUGGAGGGGCGGCGGGGCGGCGGACAUGAAUGGGCUGGUGAAGUUGCUGGAAGUGAAGGUGGAGGCAGGCUGGGUUGGAGAAGAAGUGGGGUUGUGAGAGAAUUUAGUGAUAUUCUCCUUAGAAUUUAGUGAUAUUUUAGCUGGGUUUUUAGUUUUUAGAAUAAGGAGGUUUGUAUUGGAGUAGUACUCUAUAUAUAUAUAUAUGUAUUUUCAAUCAUUCAUAUUCUAAGCACA